AUUGAACGCUGGCGGCAGGCCUAACACAUGCAAGUCGAGCGAGCGGCGGACGGGUGAGUAAUGUAUGGGGACUGCCCGAUAGAGGGGGAUAACUACUGGAAACGGUGGCUAAUACCGCAUACUAUCGGAUAACCCAUAUGUGAUUAGCUAGUAGGUGGGGUAAAGGCUCACCUAGGCGACGAUCUCUAGCUGGUCUGAGAGGAUGACCAGCCACACCGGGACGGGGACACGGCCCGUACGCCUACGGUGGGAGCAGUGGGAAAUACUGCACAGUGGGCGCAAGGCUGAUUCAUCCAUGCCGCGUGUAUGAAGGAGGCCUUAGGGUUGUAAAGUACUGUCAGCGGGGAGGCGUUACCCGCAGAAGAAGCACCGGCUAACUCCGUGCCAGCAGCCGCGGUAAUUC
rnacentral:rRNA from 1 species